GGGGGCGACCUGGAUUCGACGGGGAUUACAAAACCUGAGGUGCAUGUCGAGGAGGAUAUCCUCGUAAAUAAAAUCCAAAAUAUAUAGUUGCAAACGACGACAACUACGCAUUAGCUGCUUA
rnacentral:tmRNA from 1 species